rnacentral:rRNA from 1 species
UACGAAGGGGGCUAGCGUUGUUCGGAUUUACUGGGCGUAAAGCGCACGUAGGCGGUUUGUUAAGUCAGGGGUGAAAUCCCAGAGCUCAACUCUGGAACUGCCUUUGAUACUGGCAAGCUAGAGUCCGGAAGAGGUAAGUGGAACUCCUAGUGUAGAGGUGGAAUUCGUAGAUAUUAGGAAGAACACCAGUGGCGAAGGCGGCUUACUGGUCCGGAACUGACGCUGAGGUGCGAAAGCGUGGGGAGCGAACAGG